rnacentral:rRNA from 1 species
UACGAAGGGGGCUAGCGUUGUUCGGAAUUACUGGGCGUAAAGCGCACGUAGGCGGACUAUUAAGUCAGGGGUGAAAUCCCGGGGCUCAACCCCGGAACUGCCUUUGAUACUGGUAGUCUCGAGUCCGGAAGAGGUGAGUGGAGUUCCGAGUGUAGAGGUGAAAUUCGUAGAUAUUCGGAGGAACACCAGUGGCGAAGGCGGCUCACUGGCCCGAUACUGACGCUGAGGCACGAAAGCGUGGGGAGCAAACAGG